rnacentral:rRNA from 1 species
UACGGGGGGGGCAAGCGUUGUUCGGAAUUACUGGGCGUAAAGGGCUCGUAGGCGGCCAACUAAGUCAGACGUGAAAUCCCUCGGCUUAACCGGGGAACUGCGUCUGAUACUGAGUGGCUUGAGUGCAGGAGAGGAAUGCGGAAUUCCAGGUGUAGCGGUGAAAUGCGUAGAUAUCAGGAAGAACACCGGUGGCGAAAGCGCUCUGCUAGGCCGCAACUGACACUGAGGGACGAAAGCUAGGGGAGCGAAUGAG